rnacentral:piRNA from 1 species
UAUUUGCACAAAUAUUUUUGCCCCUUCUUCC